rnacentral:rRNA from 1 species
UACAGAGGGUGCAAGCGUUAAUCGGAAUUACUGGGCGUAAAGCGCACGCAGGUGGCUUGGUAAGUUGGAUGUGAAAUCCCCGGGCUUAACUUGGGAAUUGCAUUCAAGACUGCCUUGCUAGAGUGUGGAAGAGGGAAGCGGAAUUCCAGGUGUAGCGGUGAAAUGCGUAGAUAUCUGGAGGAACAUCAGUGGCGAAGGCGGCUUCCUGGUCCAACACUGACACUGAGGUGCGAAAGCGUGGGGAGCAAACAGG